UUGUGUGGAGUUCAGUGACAAAAAGGAUGAAAAUGGAAUGAAAUGGAGAUUAGCAUGGCCCCUGCUGAAGGAUGAUACUGAACUUUGUGAAGUGUUCCAUUUACAC